rnacentral:rRNA from 1 species
AGUCAUAUGCUUGUCUCAAAGAUUAAGCCAUGCAUGUCUCAGUACAAGCCAAAUUAAGGUGAAACCGCGAAAGGCUCAUUAAAUCAGUUAUGGUUCCUUAGAUCGUACCCACACUUACUUGGAUAACUGUGGUAAUUCUAGAGCUAAUACAUGCAAAUAGAGCUCCAACCGGAGACGGAAGGAGCGCUUUUAUUAGAUCAAAACCAAUAGGCGGCGGUUCACGCCGUCGCCGUUCUCUUUGGUGACUCUGAAUAACUUAUUGCUGAUCGCACGGUCUCGCACCGGCGACGCAUCUUUCAAAUGUCUGCCUUAUCAACUGUCGAUGGUAGGUUCUGCGCCUACCAUGGUUGUAACGGGUAACGGGGAAUCAGGGUUCGAUUCCGGAGAGGGAGCCUGAGAAACGGCUACCACAUCCAAGGAAGGCAGCAGGCGCGCAAAUUACCCACUCCCGGCACGGGGAGGUAGUGACGAAAAAUAACGAUACGGGACUCAUCCGAGGCCCCGUAAUCGGAAUGAGUACACUCUAAACCCUUUAACGAGGAUCAAUUGGAGGGCAAGUCUGGUGCCAGCAGCCGCGGUAAUUCCAGCUCCAAUAGCGUAU